rnacentral:rRNA from 1 species
UAGGGAAUAUUGCACAAUGGGCGAAAGCCUGAUGCAGCAACGCCGCGUGCGCGAUGAAGGUCUUCGGAUCGUAAAGCGCUUUUCGGGGAGAUGAGAAAGGACAGUAUCCCCGGAAUAAGUCUCGGCUAACUACGUGCCAGCAGCCGCGGUAACACGUAGGAGGCAAGCGUUAUCCGGAUUUACUGGGCGUAAAGCGCGUGCAGGCGGUUCGGUAAGUUGGAUGUGAAAGCUCCUGGCUCAACUGGGAGAGGUCGUUCAAUACUACCGGACUUGAGGGCGGUAGAGGAAGGUGGAAUUCCCGGUGUAGUGGUGAAAUGCGUAGAUAUCGGGAGGAACACCAGUGGCGAAGGCGGCUUCCUGGCCUGCUCCUGACGCUAAGAGGCGAAAGCUAGGGGAGCGAACGGGAUUAGAGACCCCGGUAGUCCUAGCUGUAAACGAUGGAUACUAGGUGUCGGUGGUCCUAACCCCAUCGGUGCCGAAGCUAACGCGUUAAGUAUCCCGCCUGGGGACUACGGCCGCAAGGUUA